rnacentral:lncRNA from 1 species
UAUCAAGCAAACUGAAGCAUGUUAAGUCAAUGAAGAAAUGUCAGAGCAGGUCAAGGUGUGGGACUCUGUCCUACCUUGGUCUGGAGAGGCUCAGACCCUGGAGUUCUUGCAAGGCCACAUAUAGGCAGCCCCUACAGACUCAUAAAAAACUAAGGCACAGAGAAUCAGGGCCUGUUAUGGCAACUGACAGAUGGUGAUAAUAAAAAUUCUAUUCACUAAUUUUGUUGAUUCUAUUGAUAGUAAGCCAUAACAUUAAGAGGUGUGUGUGAAGAGAUAUACCUUAGAACUGAUGAAAUGUAGUAUUGUCAAUUCCACAAUAAUCCUUUUGUUUAAUUUUUAUUGACCUGAAGUUGAAGAUGGAGAAAAAUAAUUCAGAUUGAAGUCGGGUACUCAACUGUGGCUCAGAUUGCUGUUUUCCUAUGCAAUAUCCAUUUUCUCUUCCUUCUUAAUGACAUAUCCCUGAGUUUUACCGUGAGCACGCAUCCUCUCAGAAUUAAAGACUAUUAUUUCCCAGCUCUUCCAGCAGCCCUUAUUGUGAGGUGUGGAGGUGUGGUCAUGUAACUACAUUGUGACCAAAUGAGACACAGAUGGAAGUGUUGUGGGCAUCUUCAGAGAAUGUUGCUUACAAAGAGCUGACUCCAUUGGGAAGGACUCAUUUUUACCAGUGUUCUGCAAUUCUUCACAAAACCCUCAACUCAAAGACGAUGGUGGGCACCCCCGGAAUUGCAACCGCUCUCUUGCGACAUAAAAUGCCAUUGAGAAUGGUAGCCAUGCACUCAGAUGGUGAGGUGCACAGGGUACCAACAUGAUGCCAUUGAACAUGGGACGUGAUGUGCAUCAUCAGCUCUUGGGAGCACUCAGGAGUGAGCUCCAGAAAGUCACUGGACCUCUGGGUUCCUAGCAGAGUGGAGGAAGUGUUCACUUAGCCACAACUUUGCCUCACCCUGGAGGCCUCCUGAGGCGUGUUAGUAUAUCCUCUCUCUGUAGUUCUGAAGUGAGGACACUGGAAAGCUUAACAGUGGUGCUUGAUUCAAGGUGCUUGAUCCAGUUUCUGUGGCCUUUAUCUGAAGAGGGAGGAAUAAGAAUGUGUCAACCUGGAAUUUUCAGAGUAGCUGAUAGGGUCACAUUUGGAAAACCGCUGUGUGCACAUCUGAUUAUCCUAAACAUAGAACUACAAUUAAUUCUUUCUUUCUCAGAACGUGUAUCAGUUUGUUAUGUUGAUUAGUGUGAUCGUCUGAAUAGUGUCUUUUCAUGUCACAUCUAUGAAAGUUUGAACCCUACAUGCUUUUGCUCAAUACUGUAUUUCCAAUGUCUAGUAAU